rnacentral:rRNA from 1 species
CCUCGGGAGGCAGCAGUGGGGAAUAUUGCGCAAUGGGCGAAAGCCUGACGCAGCAACGCCGCGUGAGCGAUGAAGGCCCUCGGGGUUGUAAAGCUCUGUUGGAAGGAAAGAUGGGUUUAAGAGUUAAUACCUCUUAGAUUUGACGGUACCUUCAAAGAAAGCACCGGCUAACUCUGUGCCAGCAGCCGCGGUAAUACAGAGGGUGCAAGCGUUGUUCGGAAUCAUUGGGCGUAAAGCGCGCGUAGGCGGCCAAAUAAGUCUGAUGUGAAAGCCCAGGGCUCAACCCUGGAAGUGCAUCGGAAACUGUUUGGCUCGAGUCCCGGAGGGGGUGGUGGAAUUCCGAGUGUAGAGGUGAAAUUCGUAGAUAUUCGGAGGAACACCAGUGGCGAAGGCGGCUCACUGGCUCGAUACUGACGCUGAGGUGCGAAAGUGUGGGGAGCAAACAGGAUUAGAUACCCUGGUAGUCCACACCGUAAACGAUGAAUGCCAGUCGUCGGAUAGUAUACUAUUCGGUGACACACCUAACGGAUUAAGCAUUCCGCCUGGGGAGUACGGUCGCAAGAUUAAAACUCAAAGGAAUUGACGG